rnacentral:tRNA from 3 species
UCCCCGGUAGCUCAGUUGGUAGAGCAGAUGACUGUUAAUCAUCGGGUCGGCGGUUCGAGUCCGUCCCGGGGAGCCA